CAGUCGCCACGGUAAUACGAAGGGUGCAAGCGUUAAUCGGAAUUACUGGGCGUAAAGCGUGCGUAGGCGGUGAGUUAAGUCUGCUGUGAAAUCCCCGGGCUCAACCUGGGAAUGGCAGUGGAUACUGGCUCGCUAGAGUGUGUCAGAGGAUGGUGGAAUUCCCGGUGUAGCGGUGAAAUGCGUAGAGAUCGGAAGGAACAUCUGUGGCGAAGGCGACUAUCUGGGCCAACACUGACACUGAGACACGAAAGCGUGGGGAGCAAACAGGAUUAGAUACCCCCGUAGUCCCUGUCUCUUAUAC
rnacentral:rRNA from 1 species